AGUGAUUCCCCCUGCCUUGGCCUCCACAGUGCUGGAAUUACAGGAGCAGACCCCACACUUGUAACCAAGCACUGGAAUUUGUCACUCCUGCAAGUCAAGACUUCACCUAUGAACUAGCCGCCCUCUGCCACCCCAGCUCCAUGGAUGUGCAAUCUCUACAGUUGCACAGCAUCCCACGUUUGGUUUAGUACUUUGUUUUUGCUAUCUUUAAAUACUUAAUAAUUUUUAAACAAGAGGUCCCGUGUUUUUAUUUUGCACUGGGCUUCACAAAUACAGUCAGUGCUAUCCAUAGUACCUAAGCUAUAAUUAAUACAAAGCUUUAAAAUGCAUAGAGUUUAGCUGAAAUUGCUGCCCAGUCUGAAGGAAAGUCCUAGAAGCUAAUUUUGGAAGAUGUUGUUCAGCCCUAAGUUAUGAAAAAAUGUUCUGCCCUUUUACAACUCUAGCAGGAAGAGCUAAGCCCCCAAUAUUCAGCCUGUGAUGUCCCUGGUGAGAGUCUUCAAAACUCCUGAGCAAUAAUGCAAGAAUUUCCCAGCCUCCAACAUGUGACCUACUUCUACCUUAUUAACUCCAAUAAACUGACCAAUUAAAUGUUUUUGUGAUCACAGAACUUGUAACUCCAUGGUUAAAGAUGCUUCAGAUAUAUCACAUUCUUUCACAUUGUGGCAGAAACUACUGGUUAAAUAACUUAGCCAUAUGUAUCUUCCUUGUCCACUCUGCACAAAAGAGACUGGAAAAAAGCUGGACAAAGCUGGACACUUGCUUCUUUCCCAUCCUCCUUUGCAGGAUAUCCAAGUGGUCCCUUUGAAUGGAUCUGCUGUGACAGAUAUUCCAUGAGCAUAAACAUAGACAAAACAGAAUCUCAUUACACUUGUUACUCUCUGCCUUCUCCAUUCAAUCUCAUGUCAAGGAAAUGGAAAAGAGACUCAGGAAAAACACACAUUGUAAAAUAAGAAUCUUUCAAAGACAACUUGAGGACAUCUGGGAAUUCUGAAGCCUGAAAAUUCCAUGAGUUCAUAGCAGUAUUCACUAAUUCCACUGAUCUAAAGACAAAAAGGAGGGUCAACUGCAUGCCCAAACUCAUUUCUGAUGAUUUCUUCCAUCCUACCUUUUCUGCCUCUCUGGAGGUGGUUAUGCCUGUGAAAAACAUCGAAGCUGUCAGGAACACAGUCGGCUUUCAAGACUGGAAUGUCAAAGUAGAGUCUUCUUUUCCUCAGACCAGAAGAGUUUCCAGAUCUAAACAAAGACAGGACUGGGAUAUAGGAGGUUGUACACAUAAACAGCACAAACACCUUGGGUAAGUGAUACACCAAGAGAGACCAAAACAGGGCAGGAACACAAUCCUAAAGCUACAUGAGAUAAGAAGCCAAGAGACCCUGUCUACAGGCUGAUCUGUGUUGCAACCAGAGGCCAGCUACACUCAAGAAAAUUCUAAAUGAUGUAAUUGGUCAUGGGCACUUUCUCAUAAAAACGAUCGAUAUUUUUUUCUUACAGGGAUAAAGCUUGAAAGCAUGGGAUGUAGCUCCAUUAGGAAAUAUGAAGUGAGCUGGUAUAUUCCAGGUAUUAGUCCAAGAAAAAUAAAAACAUAUGUCUGCUACACAGACUGCUUGUCUACUUAUGUAUGAACACUUGUUGAACACAAUAUGAAUGAAUCUCAAAAAUAUUUUGCUGGGAAGUGCCUAAUCCCCAAAAAGUACACAUCACAUGACUCAAUUUGCUUGAAGAUAAAACAGGUGGUUCUCUGAUUUAAUUGUUUGAAAGCAGUCACUGGAAGCAAAGCUAUGUGACUCAGCUUCGGUGAUGCACUCCAGCUGGAGUCUGACAGGCCUCUCCCAGCUCCUCCCUUCUCUGAAUCCUGGCCAGUGGUCAUAAGGCUGAAGAACUGCUAAGAAGUCACCCUUGAGGAGCUCGUUAAAGUUCUAAACUCACUCUCCAAAAUGCAGGUAUUGUAAAUGGGGACAUUAAAAAAAAAGGGGGUACCCCAGGUGAAUCUCAGGCAGGGAUUCCUCAAAGCUUUGAGAAACUCUGAGAAAAAUGAGUCUCUUCAUUUAAAUGGGAAUGAAGCCUGGGAAGGGCCCACUCCUUUAGGCAUUGGCCUAUGAAUCAUCAAAAGGAGACUCAAACCCCCAAUUAAACCUUUAGAACGUAGAAACCAAAUAAGAAUAGAUCAUCUCAAGAAGUGAAAUGGACAGAAUAAAAAUCCUACCUUAGUGCUGUAGUCUGUGCCCUGCCCCAUGCCAAGCACUUGAUACUCAUUAGUGCCUGUCAGUCACAGUCAGCUGCAUGGGCAGAUGGGCUGCAUGGUCAGGUUCUGAAGCUAGGGGGCACAAGCAGGGAGCAAGGACGCCUUUGACCUUUGUGGUGAGGAGCAUGCAUCACAAAUGAUGACAGGCUUUGGUUAGCUUUUCUAACUUCUCAUUUGGCAUUGAUGUUUCCACUAUGUAGCGAACAGGCUUACCCUUUGCUUUCGUGUUGCUUCCCUAACAUCUUUUCAUUUUAACCGAAACAACUAACAUGUCAAGAUAUUACCAUAAUAUAUGAUUGAAAAUAUGCCACUUUUUGAGAACGUGCUCAAAGGAAUCAAUCUCCCACAUUCCCCUUGCCUUCCAGUUAUGCCAUGAAGUAGAUAAGAUCAAAAUCAAAUGCUUCUAAGAAUUCAUCUAUAGAAAUCUUUGCAGGAGAUAAUCCAUCAACCUUUGAGAUAGGCAGGCCCUUAAAACCAGGGUGAUUCCCUGCAUACAAAACCAUAACUAAUGUCAAAUUAGAGUAAACCUAACAUUGGGUACUCUCGAUCAACAAGGAAAAAAAUGGAACCUAAGGAGAAUUAGAUUUGGCUAAGUGCAGAUUCAGAAUUAACAAAGGAAAUAGGUGUUCUGACAUUAAUAAAUAUUUCUUGUUGUCACCAUCAGAAUAUUUUUGGCAUUGAGGAAGAUGACACAAUAGCCUAAAUAGGAGGAGAAUACAGAACGUUUAAGCAUAUUUGCCUUGAUUUUUAAGCUCACUGGACCCUUCUGCUGCAAAGAUUAAUUUCCAGAGGGAACUUAUUCACCAAGAUCCAGUACUAAUUACUUUGUCAGUGUAACUGCCAUGGAGAAGAAAGCUCAUAUCUUAGAAGAUAGGGCAGCAUAAGUGGGGCAAAAUGGACUUUGGAGGCAGACAGAACUGGAUUUGAAUGCUUGCUCCACCACUCUAGCUGUGUGUCUUUGUCAAAUUGCAAAACUUCUCAAAGCCUAUGCUUUCUCAACUGUAAUGGGAAUAACAACCAGGACUUUAAAAAUGUAUUCUAAGAAUGAGAGAGAGGCCGGUCACAGUGGCUCAUGCCCAUAAUCCCAGCACUUUGGGAAGCCGAGGUGGGCAGAUCACUUGAGGCCAGGAGUUCAAGACCAGCCUGGCCAACAUGGUGAAACCCUGUCUUUAUUAAAAAUGCAAAAAUUAGCCAGGUGUGGUGGCACGCACCUGUAAUCCCAGCUACUAUGGGUGGUUGAGACAUGAGAAUCACUUGAACCUGGGGGGUAGAGGUUGCAGUUAGCCGAGAUCGCACCACUGCACACCUCUACCACCUCCAACUCAGAGUCCUGUUAGAAAAUAAGUUUCUGAACCUGGAAAACUGUGCACUCUUCUAUAGACUCAGCCAAAAUAUGCCCCAUCUCUCAACAAUCUCCACCGUAGUACAAAGGUUUCCUUAUAGUUUAGUAGCAGGUAUUGUUUAAUGCAGGGAUUUUCAACAUUCUAUUGCCAAAAAUUCCAUUAAAUCAUGUUUUUGAAGCUCUUGCAUACCAAAUAGGUGAUACUUAUUCAACAAAUUAUUGUCCCAUUUCUUAUUAAUCUAAGGUAUAAAUAAUUUUCCCAUAGAGGUUUUGAAUGAACACCAUUCAUUCAUCAGUAAAUGUCUAUGCAGUACUAUGUGUAAUGUGCUGGGGACACAAUGCUCACAGAGACCUGGUUCCUGCUCACAGUUUGUUGGGAAGAUGGACAAGUGAAAGGCAUGACAGUGAGAAAGAGCCAUGACAAGGCAAGUGCAGAGUGUUAAGGGAGUCUAUGGAAGAGGCAUUGCCUGUGACUUGGAGAGUUAGGAAUGACUUUCUGGAGGAAGUACAUCAGUCCCAGGACCUGAAGAAUGAGUGAGAGACAGCCAAGAAAGACAACACAGGGAGAAUGCUUUGGGCAAAGGGAACGAUGUGUGCAAGUCUUUGGGAUGAGUGAACAAGCUGAAUUCCAUAAAGGAAACAUUUUUGGUGUGGCUGAAGUGUGACCUUCCCAACACAUUUAGUCCUGUGCUGCCUCACGUUGGUCAGGUGGUUGAUUUCAAUUAGGCUUAUUGCGAAUAUCUUCCAGGGUUUGUAAAAUGCCAGCUGAGAAUAGUCAAGGGCUUUGGUCAGAAAAAAUCAAGCUAAUUUCCAACCUCCACAGUUGAGUGUCUACACUGCCUUGGGCAGUGCGCUUAUUCUCUUUAAGCCUCAAUUUCCACAUCUAUGAACGAAAGAAUAAUAUCUAGCUUGUCGAGUAGUUGGGACCAUUAAAUAUAUUGAUGACUCUCUACUGAGGUACCUAAUGGAUUCCCUGACACAUAGUAGCCACUCAAUAAAUCGCAACCAUUCCAGUAGCCACCAGUGAGAGCUGAAUUCUGUAAACUUCCAACUGGCAAAUGCUGAUACAGUUAAUGUCUGUGGUCAAAACCCAGGUGUAUCAAAUUUAGUUUUGUUUUUGAAGACAAAAAUCCUCAAUAAUAUUUAUACACUGAUAAUUCUCACUACUUUUGAUUACUAUGACCCAGAUGCUCUGAAAAGCAUUUAUAUUAAAUUUUUAUUUAACCCUUACAAUCAUGCUAUGAGAUCAUUUCUAUUUCUACAAAAGAAAAAGCCUCCUGAUCUUAACUACAUUUUCACAUUUGGGGUUAAACAGUUUCAUUUCCUGCACAAGUUCCCAGGGACUUUAAUCUGAAAAUAUGCAUUAUCAUAUCUGAGAUAGAGGAAAACAGUCUAAAGGGUUUUCCAGAUGUAUUUGAUCAUUAAAUCCCAUUUUGAUUGGAUGCAAAUUAAAAUUUCAUUCAAAUGUACUUUGUGAAAUGCUAAAAUAUUAUCAGCGCUAUUUUAUACCUGAGAAAACUGGGCCUCAGAGAAGUUAAGCAACUUUCCUAUUGUCAAACAGCUAAUAAGCGGGAGGGAUUGUGAUUUGAAACCAGGUCUUUCUAGCUCCAAAAACAUACACUUGGCUACUGAACAAUUUUUUUUAACGCAGCUCCAAUUCUUAGAAAACAUGUAAGGUACAAAAACAUAGGCCGUUAUACUAAAACCCCAACAACUCUGGGUAGAACGGUCUGAACAACAAACCAAAAAAAAUCUUUGCAUACCAAGUCAGGAGUCUUAGUCUUAAAGGAUAGUGCCCACUCGUAGUGCUGGAAAAAGGUUUAAAAAAAAAAAAAAAAAAAAGCCACCCUGGUUCCGCAGUACCAAUACCUCCCCGCUGUCAAGCAACUGCGCACAGCACACAAUGAUCCGCCUACCUUAUUGAUUCAUCCCUGUAGCCUAGGUUGUUAUCCCCACAUCUCAGAGCUCAAGCUCCACCUACAGUGGCCCAGUUUUUCUACCUAUCUCUCCCUAUUUUAGUGGUGCUUAGUGACAGCUCACAUCUGGUUGUACCCUCAGCAAGGCAACUGCAGCCCACUACUGAGUAUAUUACUAAAGCAAAUGAUUCAUUUAUCCCAAACCUAAUAAUCCCUCCUCAAAACUCAGAGAAUAUGAAAAAGAAUUGCCCCAUCUAGUUUCCUCAGCAUUAUGGGAACAGGCAAGACUUUCAUUUACUUCAGCAGCCCAUAUGUUUGAAGGUCAAACAACACCUGGGUAUUUCUUUGAAAUAAACUAAUUGAGCCUGGAUGAUUUAGAGUUAGUCUUGCUGAAAGACUCACUGGAUCUCCAACGGUAACGCAAGACCUGCUUUUGAAAACUCUGGAUUCCUCCAACCCCAGCUUUAUCAAAUGGCAAAGAAUAUUUGAUGCUGUUCAAAGAUUAAGGCCUGGAUCAAACUGAGUAAAAAGAAAGAGAAAGGAUUGCUUUCAAACUACUAUGAAAAAGAGCCUCGGCCCCAGGUGUUCAGAGUGGUAAAGAAAUCAGAGCCAGCCAAAGGGAAAUCAGGCAGAGGGCCUAGAAAGGAAUAGUUUUCAAAUGCUAAGUGUGCAUAGAAAGCAACUGGGAGGCAUUUUAAUAAUGCAGGCUUCCCACCUGGCUUUUCCCUUAUAUUGCUCCCCACUUCCCUUUUUUUUUUUUUUUUUUUUU